AGUACCUCCUACCGUACACCACUGAAAACACAGAAAGCCGGAAAGUUCUGUCAGUGGUGGGAAAGCAUUUAAACAAACAUUCACUUGUAA